AUUUUGCUUCCGGGACAGUGAUGGUGGUGUUUUUUUCCCAAAACUUUAUUAACCUCUCCGCACCCACCCGCCCGCCGACGGGCGAUUUCAGAUAAAUGACUGUAUGUCUACACUGCGCAGUGACGUAUCCCGCUUCAACUUUCAUCAAUAUGGACAUACUAUACGUCGUUAGAAAGAGGAGAAUCUCCGCAAUUCAUUCAUCCAGUUGAUUUUGCAGAAAUCAUGAGCACCAAACCAUAAAUCAUUGAUAUUCACCAGCAUGGUAAACGUGAGACACAAGAAACACACGGCGACUCCCUACCUUUGAAGCGGCCAUAAAGCCAUAAUAUGUGUCCAUUCCUCAAUUAUCUAUAUUCCAGUUGUCCGUAAGAAUCCACUGAUCAAAAGCAUCAAAAUGGUUUUUCAUAAAAUUAUUCCAGCUUGUGAAUAUCGUCCUGUAAAGUCCAUUUGUUUACCGUCUGCCAACUUUGUCCGGCAUAUAAAGUUCAUACUUUACCGGCCGCACCGAAAUGUUUUCUAGUUCCUGUAUGGUGAUGUUGGGUAUGCUUGUUUUCAUCACUUUGCUAGCUACAAAAUAAAAGUGUCCCCAUCUUUUUCUGUUCAGUUUUCACCCCAGCAGAGCCCCUGAAGUAGAUCGAGCGCUGCCUGUUUGAAGGACCAAUAGACUUUGUUUACUGUUUUUCGCUGCCUUAGUAUAGGAAUAGCGUAUUGGCUAUCGACAUGUCAAUAACUCAGGCUUCUAGCCAAUUAUUUUACCUUUCUAAUGAGGGCAGGCGUGCCCAGGUCAGGUAUUUAUGAGCCGAGGGGUUUCCGUGCGUCUGGCGACUCGUGGGCGGACUUUACGCAGCAGACGCACGGUGAAGAGACGCAGCAAACAUUUACAUUUCUUCGUAGGCAUUUUCAUAGUUUACAAUGGCGAAAGCCAGGAAGAAAUCCAAAUAUAUCCGAGAAGAUGACCAGGAAUGGACUAUAGCAUCAUCUGAUGAGAGUCAAGACAGUGAGUAUGACUCUGAGAGAGAGGAGAUGUUCGCUCAGGGACUUGACGACAUCUUAGAUCGGUCACAGUCUGACAGUGACGUGGAUUGGGAGCCUCAAAGUAGGACACUCAGACGCCAAACCCCAUCUCCUGCUGAAGGUGGUCGGCAGAUGCGGCAACGAUCGUCUGCAUCCACCAGUGCUACCUCCCCCGCUGCAUCUUUCACUGCCCCCUCUGGCUCAGGGGAAGCUGCAGCUUCUACACCAACUGCUGGACGUUCCCGUGCUGCCAGACGUGCCCGGGGGAGGGGCAGAAGAGGAGGAUCCUCCAGAGCACAUAGCUCCCACACGGAGGAACAACAGUGGCAUGAUGUGGGGGAUGACGACGUUGAGCCUGCUCAAGUUGCCUUCAUGCCAGUGAGACAGCCCGGACCACAGCAGGAGACCAGAGUGGCAACCAGUCCACUGCAGUUUUUCAGACUGUUUUUCACCGACGCAGUGCUUGGGACUUUGAUGGCAAACACUAAUAUUUUGUUGAUAUUGGCACAGUUAUACAUACAGUAAUAGUGUAUUGAUAGAUAAUACAAUCCUUGUUUGAAAUUCUGUAGUGUCUUGUCACAUGACAAUAUCUCAAUAUGGCCACCUAGAAGCGUGUGGAAACCCCUCCAACCACCCAUCAAAUGAAUGUGUGAAUAAAUUAUGUUUUGAAUCAUGGAGAAAGGUUUUAUAGUCACCAGAAUGCUUCAGUAAUGUUUCCAGUGUCACAGAAGUGAGUAAAAGCAUUUGGCACAAUUUGGCCAUUUGGAGACGUUUUGGAGAGGUUCGUGGACGCCAGUGACACCACAAACUAAAACCUCCAUAACUCCCAUAAGGAUAGGCCUAGAAGUCUAAAAUUUCACCCAGGUGUAGUUGACAAGAUGAGGAAGGUAUGUGCUAUAUUGCCAUAUGCCUUACAUAAAGCACAUCCUAGUUAUUGUUAUUCAAAUAUGACCUAUUAUUUUCGAAGACAAAAAAAAAUGUUUUAGAGCCAUGUUUGAACUGAUGUCAUUUUGGUUGUGUGUAUGGUACAUGCUAAAUAAACACAUUCACAGAAACUAGAGGUUGUCAGCUUUCAAAUGGCGUAUCAUACAUCCAUCUCGGACUUGUAGUUCUUGUGUUAUCAGCUUUUCCAUUUGGGUAUGCUAAAUAGGUGAAGUUACUGAAAAUAGGUGGGUGCGAACAGGUUAACAC
rnacentral:lncRNA from 1 species